GUGAACGAAUAUAAAGGGGGGCUUCUCUUUCUUUGGGCGUCUUGGUCCACUAUCCAAAAGCAAUGACUGAUUCUCAUCUCAAACUCUCAAGAAAUGCUAUAUUUUCGUUACUUUGGAAGAUUCUCUUUAUGAGUGUGCCUUGAUCUCUAUCACCGUCACGGGGCUCUCAGUAAGACAGUUCUACAGGCGCCUCUACUCCUUUUUUUCUUUUUCCAACGAAAAUAAACUUUCUUUUGGGCAAAUACGUAACUUUUGCUGUCCUUUUUUUUGGUCAAUACCAUGGUUUCUUACGCUAUGGGAAGAGGAGGAUCCAAAGAGAUCCUUGAAUAAUUUGAAAGGGAUUGAAUCACCAUCGCAUCAGACGGGUGCAUUACACAUUCGUCUGAAAUUUUUAAAUAAGGUCACAUUUAAUUGUGACAAAUCUUGCCUUUCAUUCCACCAAUCUUUAAUGCAUUUAAUUGUGACAAAUCUUGCCUUUCAUUCCACCAAUCUUUAAUGCAUUGGUGAUGGCGGCCACCAGUCCAAAGACUGUGACGGUCACUUAACUUUUGCGGCCUGCCUACUCCUUUUCUGAAUUUCUGUUUUUAGCAUGGAAUCAAUCCUUCGGUUGAUGUUUGACUUACUAAUGAUGGUAC
rnacentral:lncRNA from 1 species